CGAGCAUCAGAGAGCGGAGUGGAAACAGGAAGAGGAGGAAAGGGGAAGAAAGGAGACAGGAGAGGAUCGGGAGAGACAAGGUGGUGAGGAGUGAAAGGGAGGACCAGGGGACAAGGGUCCAGAGGGCGUGAGGACCAAAGAGCAGACACUGAAAGAGGCUGCAUGUAUCACCCCGUGGAGCUGUACUCAGGCCGUAACACAUGGGACUCCUACCCAGCUGGAGGACCUAACAGAGGACAGUGGCCUUCUGUACACAGUCGGCCCUGGAGCCAUGCUCAAAGAUGCCAAGACGGGCGCAACCAACCACACCAUCCACAAUCAUAUCGCCUCUAUAAUAG
ensembl:lncRNA